rnacentral:rRNA from 1 species
AGAGUUUGAUCAUGGCUCAGAUUGAACGCUGGCGGCAGGCCUAACACAUGCAAGUCGAACGGUAGCACAGAGAGCUUGCUCUCGGGUGACGAGUGGCGGACGGGUGAGUAAUGUCUGGGAAACUGCCUGAUGGAGGGGGAUAACUACUGGAAACGGUAGCUAAUACCGCAUAACGUCGCAAGACCAAAGAGGGGGACCUUCGGGCCUCUUGCCAUCAGAUGUGCCCAGAUGGGAUUAGCUAGUAGGUGGGGUAAUGGCUCACCUAGGCGACGAUCCCUAGCUGGUCUGAGAGGAUGACCAGCCACACUGGAACUGAGACACGGUCCAGACUCCUACGGGAGGCAGCAGUGGGGAAUAUUGCACAAUGGGCGCAAGCCUGAUGCAGCCAUGCCGCGUGUAUGAAGAAGGCCUUCGGGUUGUAAAGUACUUUCAGCGGGGAGGAAGGUGUUGUGGUUAAUAACCGCAGCAAUUGACGUUACCCGCAGAAGAAGCACCGGCUAACUCCGUGCCAGCAGCCGCGGUAAUACGGAGGGUGCAAGCGUUAAUCGGAAUUACUGGGCGUAAAGCGCACGCAGGCGGUCUGUCAAGUCGGAUGUGAAAUCCCCGGGCUCAACCUGGGAACUGCAUUCGAAACUGGCAGGCUAGAGUCUUGUAGAGGGGGGUAGAAUUCCAGGUGUAGCGGUGAAAUGCGUAGAGAUCUGGAGGAAUACCGGUGGCGAAGGCGGCCCCCUGGACAAAGACUGACGCUCAGGUGCGAAAGCGUGGGGAGCAAACAGGAUUAGAUACCCUGGUAGUCCACGCCGUAAACGAUGUCGACUUGGAGGUUGUGCCCUUGAGGCGUGGCUUCCGGAGCUAACGCGUUAAGUCGACCGCCUGGGGAGUACGGCCGCAAGGUUAAAACUCAAAUGAAUUGACGGGGGCCCGCACAAGCGGUGGAGCAUGUGGUUUAAUUCGAUGCAACGCGAAGAACCUUACCUACUCUUGACAUCCAGAGAACUUUCCAGAGAUGGAUUGGUGCCUUCGGGAACUCUGAGACAGGUGCUGCAUGGCUGUCGUCAGCUCGUGUUGUGAAAUGUUGGGUUAAGUCCCGCAACGAGCGCAACCCUUAUCCUUUGUUGCCAGCGGUCCGGCCGGGAACUCAAAGGAGACUGCCAGUGAUAAACUGGAGGAAGGUGGGGAUGACGUCAAGUCAUCAUGGCCCUUACGAGUAGGGCUACACACGUGCUACAAUGGCGCAUACAAAGAGAAGCGAACUCGCGAGAGCAAGCGGACCUCAUAAAGUGCGUCGUAGUCCGGAUUGGAGUCUGCAACUCGACUCCAUGAAGUCGGAAUCGCUAGUAAUCGUAGAUCAGAAUGCUACGGUGAAUACGUUCCCGGGCCUUGUACACACCGCCCGUCACACCAUGGGAGUGGGUUGCAAAAGAAGUAGGUAGCUUAACCUUCGGGAGGGCGCUUACCACUUUGUGAUUCAUGACUGGGGUGAAGUCGUAACAAGGUAACCGUAGGGGAACCUGCGGUUGGAUCACCU